UGGCUCAGGAUGAACGCUAGCGGCAGGCUUAACACAUGCAAGUCGAGGGGCAUCGGGAGUAGCAAUACUGCCGGCGACCGGCGCAAGGGUGCGUAACGCGUGAGCAACAUGCCCGUAUCAGGGGGAUAAUCCAUGGAAACGUGGUCUAAUACCCCAUAGUAAUUAUGUAAGGCAUCUUAUAUAAUUUAAAGCUUUGGUGGAUACGGAUUGGCUCGCGUGACAUUAGCUGGAUGGUAAGGUAACGGCUUACCAUGGCUACGAUGUCUAGGGGUUCUGAGAGGAAGGUCCCCCACACUGGAACUGAGACACGGUCCAGACUCCUACGGGAGGCAGCAGUGAGGAAUAUUGGACAAUGGAUGGAAAUCUGAUCCAGCCAUGCCGCGUGCCAGGAAGACGGCCCUAUGGGUUGUAAACUGCUUUUGUAUGGGAGCAAUAAGGGCUACGUGUAGUCCGAUGAGAGUAUCAUACGAAUAAGCACCGGCUAACUCCGUGCCAGCCGCCGC
rnacentral:rRNA from 1 species